rnacentral:rRNA from 1 species
UACGUAGGGUGCGAGCGUUAAUCGGAAUUACUGGGCGUAAAGCGUGCGCAGGCGGUUUUGCAAGCCGGAUGUGAAAUCCCCGGGCUCAACCUGGGAAUGGCAUUUGGGACUGCAAGGCUCGAGUGCGGCAGAGGAGACUGGAAUUCCUGGUGUAGCAGUGAAAUGCGUAGAUAUCAGGAGGAACACCGGUGGCGAAGGCGGGUCUCUGGGCCGAUAUUGACGCUGAGGAGCGAAAGCGUGGGGAGCGAACAGG